GAAGAGAACAAGUCAGAAAAUUCACUGAGCCACCGCACCCGGAGACAGUUCGUCAACAUAUUGGCAAGUGAUAUGACUGAGAGACAUGGCAGGAUUCCUACCCAUCAGCAGAGGGAGAAGUAUGCCCUGGGAAUUAUUACUCUCUUUCCUUCACUAAAGGAUCCCUUUUCUCCAAAGGGCUAUGAGCAUUUCUAUGAUGGGGAGAAAUGCAGUGGAUAUUUAGCGUGGUGCCUCAAGACCAUGUCCAGGAGUACAGUUAAACGGCCAACCAAGGAAACCUCAGUGCCUCAAGAACAUGGGCCAAAGCGCUGAAGAUCAGCAAACACACUGCCUCAGCAGCUUGAUGGAGAUGCCUGCAGAGAGGCUAUUUCAUUUCUUGUUCACACUCCUGAUGACGCAAGUGUACUUCAGAAGAUGAAGAUGACAUUCCAACAUCGCCAGGACCUAGUGUAUGACCCACAAAGAACCGCAGAUGUCUUCAAAACAUUUCCACACUUUUUGGAUGUCAAAGGCCUAGUGGAAAAUGCAGUGUCCAAUGGCCUGACAGGAGUUGCCAGUACUGAUGAGCAGCGGCGUUGGAAUAGCGGGACCCAAAGGAACAUCACACCGAAGCUGCUGAAAUUUCCUUUACCCACCAUAGGGCCAGUGAUUCUUUAUCAAGCAUGUGAUGUAGGGCCCCACCAUCUACCUCACACCCCUCUUUUCCACACCCAAGAGGCUCUUCGUAAUGGAUUGAAACAUUUGAAGCUGCCCAUGUCAAGUCUCUUACAUAAGUGUGUAAAUGCUGAAACACCUGCCGUGAACUUUCAGGAGCCUCCAGCAGCAACCCACGCAGAGCACGAUGGCUCCAACAUCCGCUCUCGCUGCUCUGCUUUUUAAAAGGCUUUUGGGCAAUAGACUCGGAGACUGGAGCUACUGACUCAGGAGCA